GGGCAGGCAUGUGCAAUCGUUGGCCUCCGGAGCCAAAGGCCGCAGGUUCGAAUCCUGCAUUGCCCA
rnacentral:tRNA from 1 species